AGCUGUUGCUUUUACUUUGAAAUGGCAGUCACCUGGAAAUACAAACAGGAACUGUGCUACGUUUGCAUAUUCAGAACACCACUCCUGUGCUCGAAGUGAAAGUAAUCUGUUAUUUUGGACUAUUUAAAAAAAACCUUCUAGUUCGGCUCGUGGAUCAGAAAAGCAGUUGAAGAGUCUAAGCUUUCUGUUGUCGUACUCUGCUGUGUUUUCACGUUCUGUUAAGACUCAGUGAGCCGUUCACUUGGCAGGACAUGGCGGUGGAGAGUGCACUAGACCAGCAGAAACCCACAGGGUCACCUGAGGACUGGGUGGAGUGGUUCCUUCAUCGUAUGCAUCAGGAGCCGUGGGCACUAGGUGGUAUUGCCGUCAUUGGAGUGUUUGUCCUGGUAAUUCUCUCUCUGGUCAUCUUUGCUCUACUGUACGGAUGCUGCCGCAGCUCAGGAGACAAGAACACGAAGAGAAGGCAGAAGAAUUCAAAGGACAGAGUCAUUUAAGUGUAUUCAGAUAAAAGAGAAAAUGUACACUUUUCCACUUUUGAAUUUCUUUGCUACAUAGUAUGGGACUCUUUUUUUAAGGCUUCUUCAACAAAAAUUUGAAUGAAAUUAAAAUGCCCAUAUAUUUUUUCAGUAUCCGCAAAAAUGGCCGGACCACAUCACAGACGGCAAACCAUUGUUCCACUUUGUAACACGUCAUUGCCAAGCAGCUGAUUGUAAGAAUUGUAAAAUGGUGAAUGGACUGGAUUUUCUACUCUGAGCACUCAAACUACUUUUCACUACAAGAAGAAAAUAUUUCAAUAUUGCAGCUGUAUGAAAAAUAGCAUGAACUGACACUAAAAUCAUAACCCUAUUACACUAAUAACUAUUAAACCUUUUCUUCUAAUUUAUUCCAAUUCCAAUUUAUUGUGAUUUGAAAUUAUGCAUAACCAUUCUAUCAGUCUACACAAAUGUUUGUGUAAAUUCAUAUGUUUAUCUAGUGAUUUUUUUUUACGCUCACACAUAGUAAAAAGUGACUGUUUCAAUGUGAUUUCAGUGUGAUUAAAUAUGCAACCAGGCUGGGGGAUUAUGAUAAUAAGACACACAUGAAUUCAAUCUAGGUAUUAAGGAAGGAAGGAAGGUAAAAGAACAAUGGAGGGAAGUAAAAACACAGCCCUGUGAGAAACUAACCUUCAAAAUAAAAUGCAAAGGGAACUUAAAGAGACCCCCAAAAA